AGUCGCCCGAAAUUUUUGGUAUGGAACCACGUCAGUCGCCAAUUCGGUCGUAUUUCUCGGUCCUCGCAUUAAAUCUUUUGCCGGUUUUGUUUGAUUUUCUCCGGUGAAAUCACUUUUAAGAUUUAACAGAAUUUCAAUCCUGCAUCCGUUCGGUACUUUAUUCGUUUUUGUUCCUGUCGCAGUUACUUUCCUUGUCCACGUACAUCGUGUGCACUCGACAGACCAGCAUUGAAGGAUUAUAACCUGUUGAUUUUCAAAUCGUGAUUGUUUUGGUUUGACCAGUUGGAAAUUUAUCAUCAAAUUUUAUCGUGAAAGUUUAGUUUAGCGGUGAAUUCCUCUUCUCUCAGUCACAUAUUGUCUCAAGCUGUGGGUCAGAAUUUUCUAGGUUAGCGUGUCCGUGGAAUCCAGACUCCGGGUCUUUUCAGUGCGGUGUCGUGCUCGUGCUCGUGCGUGAGCCUGUCUCUCUGGAUUACGUCGCCGGCUCCGGCAACCAGUCCCCGCUCUCCCACAAUUUUCAUACAGGCCUGGCUGCGUGA
rnacentral:lncRNA from 1 species